rnacentral:rRNA from 1 species
CCCUUAGAUGUUCUGGGCCGCACGCGCGCUACGCUGUUCGACGCAGCGAGUCUUAACCUUGACCGAAAGGUUUGGGUAAUCUUCAGCAAAGUCGAACGUGAUGGGGAUCGAUCAUUGCAAUUAUUGAUCGUGAACGAGGAAUUCCUAGUAAGUGCAAGUCAUCAGCUUGCGCUGAUUACGUCCCUGCCCUUUGUACACACCGCCCGUCGCUACUACCGAUUGAAUGGUUUAGUGAGAUCUCUGGAUUGACGCUGGCUAGGGGGCGACCCUUGGCCAGGCUGUCGAGAAACUGCUCAAACUUGAUCAUUUAGAGGAAGUAAAAGUCGUAACA